CCUACGGGAGGCAGCAGUGAGGAAUCUUGGUCAAUGGACGAGAGUCUGAACCAGCCAAGUAGCGUGAAGGAUGACUGCCCUAUGGGUUGUAAACUUCUUUUAUAUGGGAAUAAAACGUUCCACGUGUGGGAUUUUGUAUGUACCAUAUGAAUAAGGAUCGGCUAAGUCCGUGACAGCAGCCGCGGUCAUACGGAGGAUCCGAGCGUUAUCCGGAUUUAUUGGGGUUAAAGGGAGCGUAGGUGGUUUGAUAAGUCAGUUGUGAAAGUUUGCGGCUCAACCGUAAAAUUGCAGUUGAAACUGGCAGUCGUGAGUACAGAAGAGGUGGGCGGAAUUCGUGGUGUAGCGGUGAAAUGCUUAGAUAUCACGAAGAACUCCGAUUGCGAAGGCAGCUCACUGGACUGCAACUGACACUGAGGCUCGAAAGUGUGGGUAUCAAACAGGAUUAGAUACCCGUGUAGUC
rnacentral:rRNA from 1 species